UACGAAGGGGGCUAGCGUUGUUCGGAAUCACUGGGCGUAAAGGGCGCGUAGGUGGCCUGAUAAGUAGGGGGUGAAAUCUCGAGGCUCAACUUCGAGGCUGCCUCCUAAACUGUCAGGCUUGAGCAGAGUAGAGGCAGGUGGAAUUCCCGGUGUAGCGGUGGAAUGCGUAGAGAUCGGGAGGAACACCAGUGGCGAAGGCGGCUCUCUGGACCGGUGCUGACGCUCAGGCGCGAAAGCGUGGGGAGCGAUCCGG
rnacentral:rRNA from 1 species